CAGUGGGGAAUAUUGGACAAUGGGCGAAAGCCUGAUCCAGCCAUGCCGCGUGUGUGAAGAAGGUCUUCGGAUUGUAAAGCACUUUAAGUUGGGAGGAAGGGCAGUAAMUUAAUACUUKWCUGUUUUGACGUUACCGACAGAAUAAGCACCGGCUAACUCUGUGCCAGCAGCCGCGGUAAUACAGAGGGUGCAAGCGUUAAUCGGAAUUACUGGGCGUAAAGCGCGCGUAGGUGGUUUGUUAAGUUGGAUGUGAAAUCCCCGGGCUCAACCUGGGAACUGCAUUCAAAACUGACUGACUAGAGUAUGGUAGAGGGUGGUGGAAUUUCCUGUGUAGCGGUGAAAUGCGUAGAUAUAGGAAGGAACACCAGUGGCGAAGGCGACCACCUGGACUAAUACUGACACUGAGGUGCGAAGC
rnacentral:rRNA from 1 species